AAGGGUUCCGACGAAUGCGUCUCAGGCGAUUGCAUCAUCGCGCAAAGGGUCCUGAGAAAUGCGCCUUAGGCGAUUGCAUCAUGGCGCAAACAUCAUGUAUUUAGCUUUCAAAAACCUAGAUGGGACAGCCUCCAGCUAACUUAGGCUGUGUGGAAUAGCAGAUUGCUCCUAGGCUACAAACCUGUACAACAUGUUACUGUACUGAGUGCAGUGGGCAUCCUAACACAAUGCUGAUGAUCCCUAAUAAAUCAUCUCACGCAUCAAACUCUGUCUCAGCGUUUGCUUCCAGAUAACCCAACCUGUAAACUCAGUGUGGAACACAGUUUGAGAAAAGAAGUGAGGAGAUUCAAUUGUGAAGUUGGAUCACUCUCCUGCAGGCAAUGAAGACAUCACUGACGGUAUUUAUGGAAAUCCAUUCGUUCUGAGCUUCUGCCAUACACUUGAUUUGCUGCUAGGGAACAUGUUUUAGUCCCACAGGACGUUUCAAGGCCUACAGAAACCUGUCUCCUUCCU